rnacentral:rRNA from 1 species
GACGAACGCUGGCGGUGUGCUUAACACAUGCAAGUGGUGCGACGAACCAGAGCUUGCUCUGGGGCAAAGCCGCGAACGGGUGAGUAACACGUGGGUAAUCUACCCCGAUGACCGGGACAACCCGAGGAAACUCGGGCUAAUACCGGAUGUGGUACGGAGACAUAAGUCUCUUUACUAAAGGUAGCUUCGGCUUCCGCAUUGGGAGGGGCCCGCGGCCCAUUAGCUAGUUGGUGGGGUCAAGGCCUACCAAGGCAACGAUGGGUAGCUGGUCUGAGAGGACGAUCAGCCACACUGGGACUGAGACACGGCCCAGGCUCCUACGGGAGGCAGCAGUGGGGAAUCUUGCGCAAUGCGCGAAAGCGUGACGCAGCAACACCGCGUGAGGGAAGACGGCCUUAGGGUUGUAAACCUCUUUCAGAUGGGACGAAGGUGAUGCGGUGAAUAGCCGAUGUCAUUGACGGUACCGUCAGAAGAAGCUCCGGCUAACUACGUGCCAGCAGCCGCGGUAAU